rnacentral:lncRNA from 1 species
AAUCAUACAACUUGUCCAAAAACAAUAAAAACAAAUAAAAUUAAGUUUAUUAUCCAAAAUCAUAAAUCUCUGAAUCUUACAAAAGUACAAAUAAACCACUAAUUAGUACGUUGAUUUUACAAAACCGUCCAUAACCACAAAAGUGCCUAAUUAAGGUCUCUGAAUACUCGCAAAUAUACGAGUUUGAGUUGUAGCCCAUGUAAACCCUUUAAUUUAACUUAGAUCUUUUCAAUGUCCUGCAAAAUGAAAGAGAAGAGUUUCGAGUUAAAAAUUAUAGGAAAUGCGUUUAAAAGAAAAGAUAACUAAUAUCAAACAAAGUUACCAUUGUAUAUAAAAAAAAUUUAAGGACCGUAAAUAGCAAAAAUGAAUAAUCAAGUGGAUUCAACGAAGACCAAGGGCUCAAGCAAGAAUAUAGAUCCUGCAGUUUGAUCUUAGCAGCAAAAAGUCAAGAGAUUCAUUGAACUCAAUGCAAAUGAUUUCCUUCUCAUGCAGCGAGGGAAGAAUAUAUACUUCUUAGCAGCAUAAAGUCGAAAGAUUCAAUAAAACACUUCCAAUUCAUGACAAUAUAGGAGGAUUAAUAGAAAGACAACGCCUUUCAAGAAGCAGGACAAGUAAGAAAAGCAAAUUGAUUAUAUAUGUGAUAUGUCCAACACUAAGAAAAGUUAAGCUCAAAUGUUUAAAGCUUGCAUGACACCAAAAGCAUUUUGAGUUUUGACCUUCAUGUUUAAACAGAACAGCUGGAUUCAUCUCAAAGAAAAAAAAAUUAAGAACAACUGCAAAUAAAAAGUUAUAAAUAUCCUAUCUGAUGGUGGUGGGAGUAAGAAUGUUUACUUUCAUCAACAAUACCAUCACAACAAUCAUGUGUUACCAUUAAAACUGUUCUCAUUAUAAUACCCAGCCUACAUAAGGGGAGAGCAAUAACCUGCCUUUAGCAUUAUAAUACCCAGCCAUCACAUUCACAACUUUGAAAUCUACAUUUACACAAAUUUCAUAUAAAUCAAACUUUAUAUUCCCCACUAGAAAAAUACCAAAUCCCUUCAUUUCAGUCUUUACUCAAUACGCUACAUUCUAGGCUUAUAGCUUUAUAAUUAUACGGAUAUGUAAGCCAGCCCAUUACACAAAGCUGAACUGUAUCAUCAAUUGUUUUUUUUUAUCUUUUUAAAAUUUCACGAAGCUAUUAUGGUGCAUUACAGCUUUGAAUUCAUAUCUUUGACAUUACCUUGAGUUGGUAUCAAAGAUACCUUCAAGCUAUUAGAAACUUUAACGUAGGAGUUAGGCAAAUGUCUAGGUAGCUCAAUCAAGAGGUUGAUUUUGGUUUGUGUGUUAGGAAUGAGUAUUGACCCAUUUGAAUCACGCUUGAAGAAAACCAGUUGAACUUGUUUGUUCGACCCUGGCGACUUCUAUGCAUGUUCAAAGGAUAUUUUGCAUACCUAAAACUUGGUUGCAGAUUUCACCUCAAGUUAGUGGCAUGCUCAAUUAAGCUUUCCACCAUCUAGUUGAUUAUUUUGAAUGAUAAUAAUCUUAGUCUUUAGUUAGUUAUGGUUAUCAAUCGAAAUUAAGUAGUACAAAGCAAUUAUAAUGGACUGAGGUUAUCAUACUUAAUUCACCAUGAAUCUCAAAAUUCAAUUCCUACUAUUGAGCCAUGUUUUUUACAGAGGCAGUAAUAAGAAGUAAAUGCAUUUAGUAGCAAUUAUAAUUUUUUACACUAAAAUUUAAAAUACUGACCUUUGCAACAAUCCAAUGGAUUUUCACUGAAUCAAUCUUCAUAAUGACUUCUUUAAAUGUAUUAUCUCUUCUGCAUGUAACCAUUCCACUCAACAACGGUGAUGACUGAUGUUGCUCUUCAAGAUAGCUUCUAACUGCUAUGAGCAGUGGCAGAUCUAUGUGGAGGACAGAAUAUAGGCAGUGCCUAUGCUGAACUUUUUUAUUUUUUUAUUUUUAGGUAUAGGGGCAAGGACAAAAAUAAAACUUAAUAAACGUAAGGGGACAAAUUUAUGAAAAAGUUCAACUUAGAGGGGGAAAAAAACUUAAACUACUACUCUAAAAAAACUAAACACACGGUGUAUAAUGUAUUCAAACUCUUACUCUCUAACUCGCUAAGCUUCAACCCUUCACUUCAAUCUUCAGCCCAAAAAAAUCCACUCAUGCUAGGAACAUAUACUGGAUCCGCCCCUGGCUGUGAGGAAGUUCUUGGUUGUGAUAGAUCUGCAAUAACAUAGAAAAACGACAUAAGCUUCUGUAAAUUUAGACACAAAUUACUUCCAUAAAUCUAAAGGGUGUAGCAUGUGUUAAUUAGAUGUAUGUAACAAUGCUCAAUAUUUUACUAACCACGCAUAAAAAGAGUUCUAGGAUUAUAUGAUGGCAAAUACUAGAAAGGUUUAUUAACAAAUCUGAGAUUCUUAUAGAUAACAGGUGCAAGUAGAAGGAAAUGAAAAUAUCUCUGAUGCUUAUAAUACCAACUACCUUUGUUCCACCACUUUCAACCACUGGUACCCCACAACACCCUUCUGCCUCAUAAGUUUAAAUGCCCCUUACACACCUUAGAAACAAAAGGGAAUGAUAAAAAAACAAAUUAGUUUACAAGAAAUUAAUGUGCAAGCAAGCCUUAAUGAGAAAAAAAUAUGGUAGCCAUUCAAGAAAAGCCCCAAUUAUAGUUUGCCAGGAUUAUGAGCAAGGUGACCAACUAUUAUAUUUGCAACAAUAGUACUUUGUUGACAAAAGAAUCUUACAAAAAAUUGUUUACAAAAUGAUGUGGCUGAUUGUGGUUGAUUAUUAUCACUAGACCCACCCAUUUAUGGUGGAUCAUCCACUAAUUACACUCUGCCACAUCAUUUUGUAAACUAGUUUUUGUUAGCUUUAUAUUGCAUGCACCAUUUUUUCACUAGACUUUAAAAAACUGGAAAUAAAAAACAAAGAGGUCAAUUGUGCAGUUAAGAACAUCAUAAUCAGUAGCUUCGACCGACUCUUUUAUGCACUUAUUACAGCUAAAGCCAUAGCAGCUCAGUCACAUAGAUUGUUGCCGCAGAUACAAACUACUAUUUGCUAGGAUACAUGUUAAUGGAAGAACUGAAGGAAACAAAACGAUCUCGAUGCUUCAACGUACAUAAUAAACUAAUUCCCAAUUUUGAAAGACGUUUGCAGAACAAAUCCCAGAUGAUGAAACAAAUGCAAUGAUAAAUGACCUCCUAAAGACAUAGAUUGGUUAACCCUUGACUAUUUCUUGACCUACUUAAAUUUAGCAUUUGCAUGCAAUGCUAAAAUUAAGUAUUAAAAUUCCCUCUUUCAAAUCAGUGAUGAAACCCUCGACCGGUACUAUCCAUUGAGAGGAAGAAAAACAAAUCAGUAUGGUGAUAUAUAGUCCCUCAAGGCACUUAAGGAGUAAUAAACAUGAGAAAAUUCAUCAGUCCCACCACUGUCCCGCUCUCAAAUUUCCAUUUAAUGAGAGACAAAUCAAAUAAUUAAGAAACAUAUAUUAUAUGCAUAAACAAAAGAAGAGGUUUCUAAGUUUCCCACCUUUUAUCUUGUUUAAUUGCUAGAAAAAUUAAUACCAUCUGAAUGAGAUUCAUAUACCUAUCACAUAAGAGAGUUUUCUAUUUGUUUGGUUGGUUUUAAUAGUAUCAUUCAACUUUUUUAAGAUUACAGUUAAUGGCUACCAACUUCAUCCAGAUAACUUUCCAACAAAGUAUUGCUGCUCUUGAAUUAGAACCCGACUUUGUCUGAUAUACUACAUUCCUUUCCUUUUCAUCUGUAUACUCAGGAAUUGGGAUGUACAAUGUUGACAUUUCGUACAUAAAUUUGUCUAGAUCUUAAAUAAUAAAUCGUCAUAACUCUUCAAAAAAACAAAUCAGCAUAGUGCACAUAACUUACAAACCUUAAACUGUAAAAUCAUGGGCCUAAAAAAAGAAUUUAUGCUGAAGUUUGAAACUGUAAUUUCUAUUAGUACUAGCACUAAAAGAGUGUUUAGACAACUCAUUGGUGAUUCAUUGAUAUGUUACAACAUGAAACCUCGAGGAGUUCUUUGCAUUCCAUGGACAUGAUAGUAUAUAAAAAAAUCUCCAAAUCAUAAUUUGUUUCAAACAUUUGACAGUAGCAGGACAAUAUUAUGCAUCAUGUCAUCAUGCAUGAGAUCAAUUUCCAAACAUGCAAGUUCCACUAUGUACAUUUUCUAAUGUGAUUUAGGAGAAAUCAAUGGGUUUUCCACAUAAUUCCUUUUGGUAGCUAAUUUUCUUCUUAAUAAAAAUCCUAAUUCAAUUGUCUAUAGUUACCUUGUCCAUUCAUACUUUACCAAUCAGUCUUACCAAAGCUUGUCUCCAUUGAGUUAUAGAUCCCUCAUCUAUGUUCCCAACACCAAUGUUUUAUUGCUCAGAUUAAGUUAUAAAUACUAAGAAUAACGUACAUCUAAAGUCAGAAAAAGUGAAUUACGUUACACCAUCCAUAUGGUUGCAUCAAAGAUAUAGACAAUAAAAAUGCUGCCAAAUUAAAAGAAAUUUAAACUCACAGAUGGAAAUGUCGUUGCAAUUUCAAAACAGAGCCUUGCAAGAUAAAGCAAACUUUUCUUUAUGUUAAAACUUCUCAUUAAUCUAAUGUCCUUUUUUUUCCAAUAAGAAUACUUUUUUUCUCUUUUUCGCCACUAAGAAUACCAAAUUGUAUCAAAUUGAUAUAAAGUAUUCAUUCAUUAAAAAGGUAAUCAUGAAAAUAAGGGACUAAUUAGAAACCACCAAAUUGUUUCAUAAAUGUUACAACUUUGAAUCCAUCACUUCCUUGAGAAAUUCUAGUUGCAAUUCCACUUUUUCUCUUAUUCUUCCUGAUAUGUAAAGUUAGUACAAUUCUACUCUUUCCAAUAGCCUAAGUUAAUUCAUCAAAAUUAUCUGAUAAAAAAUAACCAAGUGUCUCCAUUGAGUUGGUUAUAGACCUCUAAUAUAUGCCUUUCGAGUAAUACACAAACAACUAGUGACAGUUAGACGCCUCUGCCUUUUACAUUCAGUGAAGGAUGCACUACUAACUCUGGUUUUACUGUAAAGUACCAGGACACAGCUAAAAAACCCUAGAAUUAUCUACUCAUGCUGAUCAACGCAAAUCAAAAUCGAAGUAAAAUUAACUAAUAAACCAUCACAUAUAGAAAGAAAUUAGAAAAUGGUCAUAGCAAGGAAGAACAAAACCUUCUCUGAGUGUCAUGUUUUCUCAAACUUGAAGGCGAUGAGUACCGAAUCUCUUCUCCAACUCAAUCUGAAUCUGCUAAUUUCUAACUAAAUCGUUUGGGGGCUAGGUCUAGAAACAACGAAUCUCAAUCUGCUAAUUUCCAACUCAAUUGUUUGGGGUCUACAACUAGAUGUCGAUAUUUGGGAGGCGACUGAGCCAGAUAGCAAAAAGAGGAGAGAAGCGACUGAGGAGUGAGGAGAGUUGAGGUCAGGCGACCGUACGGGUGAGGGAGGCCCAAAUAUUUUAUUGGGCAAAGCAGAUAGUGCGGGAGUGAAAAGUUUGGAGGGAAAUUUUUU